rnacentral:rRNA from 1 species
CCAGGAUUACGCCAGCUGACCAACUCGGCUCGACCUUCUCUGAUAAACGCAUGGCACCGAUGCUGCCAACCGCAUGCUGGCCGCACGGCUGGGUUUCAGUGAGAUAGAACCUUUGAUCACACGCCUUACCAGUCUCUUGUGGCAUGGCGGCCCUGCAGCUUGCCGCCCUCCUUGCCCUGCUGCUCGCGCUGUGGCGUCUCGUGUGGCGGCCGCGCGCCGUGGCGCGGUCGUUCGCGAGGCAGGGGAUCCGAGGGCCGCCCUACACGUUCCUGGCCGGGUCCUUGCCGGAGGCGAAGCGGCUGCUGAUCGCUGGCCGGAGAGGCGUGCCGCCCCUCUGACGCCGGGUGCCACGACAUCAUGCCCAUCCUGCUGCCGCAGUUCCACAGAUGGGUCGCUGAUUAUGGCAAAACGUUCCUGUUCUGGAUCGGGCCGAUCCCCGCCAUCUUCUCUAUCGACCUGCAGCUGAUAAAGCAAGUGCUCACAGACAGGACGGGCCUGUAUCAGAAGGACUUCAUGAUCCCCGUGCUCAAAUCCCUCUUCGGCAACGGCGUCAUAUUGAUAAAUGGUGACGAUUGGAAGCGGCACCGGAAAGUAGUCCUUCCUGCUUUCAACUAUGAGAAGAUCAAGAGCAUGUCAGCGGUGACGGCAGAGGUCACAAGGCAGAUGAUACAGCAAUGGGGUGAGCAGAUACACCAAAGCAACAGCGACAAGAAAGCAGCUGAGAUAGACAUGAUCCACGCCUUCAACGACCUGACUGCCAAGAUCAACGGCCGCGUCGCCUUCGGCACUACCCACCGGGAUGCCGAGGAGGUCAUCGUCUUGAUGCGGGAGAUGCAAAAGAUCGCCACUGCGGCCAUGCUCGAUGCUCCAAUACUCUGGUAUCUGCCAACUCGGCGUAACUUGCACGUUCGACGCCUGAACAAACAGCUGAGAAGCAAGAUCAUGUCGAUCAUGCAGGCACGGCUGGCCGCAGAUGGAGCCAAAUAUGGUCGAGGAGACACCGGCGGCUGCGGGGACGACCUGCUCGGGCUGUUGUUAGAGGCGUGGACACCGCACCGGCAAGUGAGGGGCGGCGAUACGCUGACAACUGACGAGGUGAUUGAUGAGUGCAAAACCUUCUUCGCCGCAGGGCAGGAAACCACGGCCACCCUCCUCGUCUGGGCCAUGUUCCUGCUUGCCGUGCACCCCCAGUGGCAGGACAAGGUCAGGGAAGAGGUCCUCCGGGAGUUCCCCGGCGGGGACAGCGACGAUGUGGUACCCAACGCGGAUGUUCUCGCCAAACUGAAGCUGCUACACAUGGCAUUGCUCGAGACAUCGCGUCUCUACCCUCCAGUUGUGUACAUACAACGGAAAGCUGCCUCCGACACCGUCCUCGGAGGCAUCAAAGUACCCCAGGGAACAAUCAUAUCAAUCCCCAUUGGCAUGCUACAUCGAGACAAGGAAGUUUGGGGCCCCGACGCCAACGAGUUCAACCCCAUGAGGUUCGAGCAGGGCGUCACAAAGGCUGCCAAAGACUCCAAGGCGCUCUUGACUUUCUCUCUAGGCCCGAGAGUGUGUACUGGUCAGAACUUUGGCAUCGUGCAAGUGCAGGUUGUCAUGGCAAUGAUCCUCAGCAAGUUCUCCAUAUCCCUCUCCCCGGCAUAUGUUCACAAGCCAAAGUAUCUUCUGUCUUUGACACCCAGGCUAGGGAUGCCUCUCAUUUUGAGGAAUCUACUAUAGAUGGGUGAGAAAGUUUGCUAAUUAAACUCAUUGUAACGCAUGAGAGUAAAUUCAUUAUAAUUUCAGUGUCUUGCUUAUGGUACGACAUUCUACAUAAUCGAUUUGGAGAUGUAACCAAUUAUGCAUGCAGAGAUCAUAUCAACUUGGAGUAAUAGACGAAUCUUCU